AACGAACGCUGGCGGCGUGCUUAACACAUGCAAGUCGAACGAGAAAGGGGCUUCGGCCCUGAGUAGAGUGGCGCACGGGUGAGUAACGCGUGGGUAAUCUCCCCUUGGAUUUGGGAUAACUCUGCGAAAGUGGAGCUAAUACCGGAUAGUCUGGCUUUAAUUGAUAAGUCGGUAAAGGAUGCCUCUGCAUAUGCAUUCGUCCAAGGAUGAGCCCGCGUCUCAUUAGCUAGUUGGUAGGGUAAUGGCCUACCAAGGCAACGAUGAGUAGCUGGUCUGAGAGGAUGAUCAGCCACACUGGAACUGAAACACGGUCCAGACUCCUACGGGUGGCUG
rnacentral:rRNA from 1 species